UCCCUAGUGGUCCAGUGGUUAGGAAGUCUGCACUUCCAAUGCAGGGGCUUCGGGUUCAUUUCCUGGUCAAGGAG
rnacentral:tRNA from 1 species